UCAAUUUGCGGCCCCUGUGGUGAGAAAAGGGUCAUGAAUCGCCAAGUUAGCGCAGGUUCUCAACCCCGCCUUCCUGAUGUGAGUCAAGCUUUCCUAAAAGGCCUCUGGCCACCCGACCACAUGCUGCCAGCCAACUCCCACCGAGGACCCCAGUGGGCUGCAUUCUAACGAGCUUGGGGCAGGAGUGGGAGCCCCCCAGGAGCUGACAGGGUGUCGUUUGUGCAAGCAUUAGAUCAAAAGCCCUGAAAAAUCAAUCGGGCAAAGUUAACGAGCAGGCUAAUGAAAGCAGACAGUCGCUAAAUUACCUUCCUAGAGCCCAGGGUAGUCAGUUAGAGAGGUCGGAGUGAGGCUGUUAGCUGUUUGCUUUUCUGCAGAAUCCCCUGCCCACCAGAGGGUCAGGUACGGACAGUGCAGAGACCUAGCCGCUCUCUGUGUGUGGUUUGACCCCAAGGCUCCUCCAUUACCCCCUUUCCCAUCCAUCCCGAUCCUUUGCUUACCCAUCCUGAUCCUUCUCCACCAUUUUCAGCCCCUCCAGGGCUUGGAGGACUCUGCGGGCCACGCUCUUAGAGCCUCUGCUGAAGUGGCUGGGCAUGACACCGUUUCUCUGUCGUCCUCCAUAGAUCUUGGUCAUGGAGCCAACCCCAGCGCCGCCCCGAAGG